rnacentral:rRNA from 1 species
GGCGUGCGGGUGCUCACUACGCAGUCGAACGCUGAAGCCGCUUCGGUGGUGGAUGAGUGGCGAACGGGUGAGUAACACGUGGGCAAUCUGCCCUGUACUUCGGGAUAAGCCUUGGAAACGGGGUCUAAUACCGGAUAGGACACUGCUCCGCAUGGGGUGGUGUGGAAAGCUUCGGCGGUAUGGGAUGAGCCCGCGGCCUAUCAGCUUGUUGGUGGGGUGAUGGCCUACCAAGGCGACGACGGGUAGCCGGCCUGAGAGGGUGACCGGCCACACUGGGACUGAGACACGGCCCAGACUCCUACGGGAGGCAGCAGUGGGGAAUAUUGCACAAUGGGCGGAAGCCUGAUGCAGCGACGCCGCGUGAGGGAUGACGGCCUUCGGGUUGUAAACCUCUUUCGCCCGGGACGAAGCGUAACAGUGACGGUACCGGGAGAAGAAGCACCGGCUAACUACGUGCCAGCAGCCGCGGUAAUACGUAGGGUGCGAGCGUUGUCCGGAAUUAUUGGGCGUAAAGAGCUCGUAGGCGGUGUGUCACGUCUGCCGUGAAAACCUGCGGCUUAACCGUGGGCGUGCGGUGGAUACGGGCAUCACUUGAGUUCGGCAGGGGAGACUGGAAUUCCUGGUGUAGCGGUGGAAUGCGCAGAUAUCAGGAGGAACACCGGUGGCGAAGGCGGGUCUCUGGGCCGAUACUGACGCUGAGGAGCGAAAGCGUGGGGAGCGAACAGGAUUAGAUACCCUGGUAGUCCACGCCGUAAACGUUGGGCGCUAGGUGUGGGACGCUGUUCACGUGUUCCGUGCCGUAGCUAACGCAUUAAGCGUCCCGCCUGGGGAGUACGGCCGCAAGGCUAAAACUCAAAGGAAUUGACAGUGGCCCGCACAAUCGCCGGACCAUGUGGAUUAAUUCUAUGUAACUCUGAAUAACUUUACCUAGGACUUGACAUGUACCCGGAUCUCCUCACAGAUGGAAUUUCUCUUGUCGCUGGUGCAUAGGUGGCGCUCG